rnacentral:rRNA from 1 species
GAUGAACGCUAGCGACAGGCUUAACACAUGCAAGUCGAGGGGCAGCACAGGUAGCAAUACCGGGUGGCGACCGGCGCACGGGUGAGUAACGCGUAUGCAACUUACCUAUCAGAGGGGGAUAACCCGGCGAAAGUCGGACUAAUACCGCAUGAAGCAGGGGUCCCGCAUGGGGAUAUUUGCUAAAGAUUCAUCGCUGAUAGAUAGGCAUGCGUUCCAUUAGGCAGUUGGCGGGGUAACGGCCCACCAAACCGACGAUGGAUAGGGGUUCCGAGAGGAAGGUCCCCCACAUUGGUACUGAGACACGGACCAAACGCCUACGGGAGGCAGCAGUGAGGAAUAUUGGUCAAUGGCCGAGAGGCUGAACCAGCCAAGUCGCGUGAGGGAUGAAGGUUCUAUGGAUCGUAAACCUCUUUUAUAAGGGAAUAAAGUGCGGGACGUGUCCCGUUUUGUAUGUACCUUAUGAAUAAGGAUCGGCUAACUCCGUG